rnacentral:rRNA from 1 species
UGCAUAGACAACUAGGACGUUGGCUUAGAAGCAGCCACUCAUUUAAAGAGUGCGUAAUAGCUCACUAGUCGAGAGAUCCUGCGCCGAAAAUGUCCGGGGCUAAAACUUACCACCGAAGCUACGGGCUUGCGUAAGCAAGCGGUAGGGGAGCGUCGUAAUCGGGCUGAAGUCGUACCGUAAGGAGCGGUGGACUGAUUACGAGUGAGAAUGUUGGCAUUAGUAGCGAGAUGUAGGUGAGAAUCCUACAGGCCGAAUAUCUAAGGUUUCCUCAGGAAGGCUCGUCCGCUGAGGGUUAGUCGGGACCUAAGCCGAGGCCGAAAGGCGUAGGCGAUGGACAACAGGUUGAUAUUCCUGUACCACUACCAUCGUUAUUAUCGAGGGUGUGACGGAGAAGGAUAGUGUGUGCUAGCGAUUGGAAAUGCUAGUCUAAGCGUUUAGGCAGUUACAGUAGGCAAAUCCGCUGUAAUGUUAAUGCUGAGGCGUGAUGGGGAAGGCCCUUGAGGCUGAAGUACAUGAUUCCAUGCUUCCAAGAAAAGCAUCUAGAGAGAGAAGUAGUGCCCGUACCGCAAACCGACACAGGUAGAUGAGGAGAGAAUCCUAAGGCCGGCGGAAGAAUUGCAGUUAAGGAACUAGGCAAAUUGACCCCGUAAGUUAGCGAGAAGGGGUGCCUACGAGAGUAGGCCGCAGAGAAUAGGCCCAAGCAACUGUUUAGCAAAAACACAGGUCUCUGCUAAAGCGCAAGCUGAUGUAUAGGGGCUGACGCCUGCCCGGUGCUGGAAGGUUAAGGGGAACACUUAGCGCAAGCGAAGGUGUGAACUUAAGCCCCAGUAAACGGCGGCCGUAACUAUAACGGUCCUAAGGUAGCGAAAUUCCUUGUCAGGUAAGUUCUGACCCGCACGAAUGGCGUAAUGACUUGGGCACUGUCUCAACUGCAAAUCCGGCGAAGUUGUAGUGCGAGUGAAGAUGCUCGCUACCCGCGAUUGGACGGAAAGACCCCGUAGAGCUUUACUGUAGCUUAGCAUUGAAUUCCGGUAUUGUCUGUACAGGAUAGGUGGGAGACUGGGAAACUAGGGCGUCAGCCUUAGUGGAGUCAUCCUUGGGAUACCACCCUGACAGUACUGGGGUUCUAACAGGAUGCCAUGAAUCUGGUGACUGGACAUUGUUAGGUGGGCAGUUUGACUGGGGCGGUCGCCUCCUAAAAAGUAACGGAGGCGCCCAAAGGUUCCCUCAGAACGGUCGGAAAUCGUUCGUAGAGUGCAAAGGCAGAAGGGAGCCUGACUGCGAGACCUACAAGUCGAGCAGGGACGAAAGUCGGGCUUAGUGAUCCGGUGGUACCUCGUGGGAGGGCCAUCGCUCAACGGAUAAAAGCUACCUCGGGGAUAACAGGCUGAUCUCCCCCAAGAGUCCACAUCGACGGGGAGGUUUGGCACCUCGAUGUCGGCUCAUCGCAUCCUGGGGCUGUAUUCGGUCCCAAGGGUUUGGCUGUUCGCCAAUUAAAGCGGCACGCGAGCUGGGUUCAGAACGUCGUGAGACAGUUCGGUCCCUAUCUGUUGCGGGCGUAAGAGAUUUGAAGGGAGCUGUCCUUAGUACGAGAGGACCGGGAUGGACUGACCUCUGGUGCACCAGUUGUUCUGCCAAGAGCAUGGCUGGGUAGCUAAGUCGGGAAGGGAUAAACGCUGAAAGCAUCUAAGCGUGAAGCCUCCCUCAAGAUGAGAUUUCCCAUAGUCGAAAGACUAGUAAGACCCCUUGAAGAACACGAGGUUGAUAGGUCAGAGGUGUAAGUGUGGUAACAUAUUUAGCUGACUGAUACUAAUAGGUCGAGGGCUUGACCAA